GCUGGGCACGGUAGUGCUUGCCUGUAGUCUUGGCUACUCAAGAGGCUAAGGUGGGAGGCUCACUUGAGCUCAGGAGUUCGAGGCUACAGUGAGCUAUGAUCACACCACUGUACUCCAGCCUGGGCGACAGAGCGAGACCCUGUCUUUA
rfam:Gorilla gorilla gorilla genomic chromosome, chrX, whole genome shotgun sequence